CGAAGAAAAGAAAAAAACUACAAACUAUGGAACAAUAUUUGUCUACUGCUUCUUCUGUCUUGUUUUCAUUGUGGUAGUAGUAAGAUUUGCAAAACCUUACUACAACUUUCAAAACCUAAUGGAGACAGAAGCAGUAAUAGAAGAAGGAUUGUUGGACGUGGGAAUACUUCCUUGUAACAUUAGGAGCUCUGUCUCUGUUCCUGCUAGGAAUCACAAGAGCUCUCGGCAACAAUAAGGGAAGAGACGAGAACUCGUCCUCCAGUUACGUACUGUGUGAAGUUCGAGUCAUUUGACACUAUGUCCAAACUGGUCAAAGACAACGGUGACAAGUACGAGUCACAUCCUUUCUCAGCCGGUGGAUACAAUUGGACACAUUGAGAUCAAGCCCAGCAGAGAACAAAGCUAUGAAAAGAGCAAGCUUUGUGGGAGUACAAACUGGCCUGACAACAAGUUCAUCACAUCUGAAUAUUCAGUAAACAUGCCAUUCCUUGGAAAAUUCAACAUCAACCUCUUCAGAGUAGUGUGGCGAACAGCUUAUGUGGUUGGAGUUCUCUCUUUGACAAACCCCUUUGACACUAAUCCGAUAUCCGGACGUACAUGGCUUGAUUUGAAGUACGUAAGUCAUGGUAUGUUUGUACAACCGGACGUACAUGGCUUGAUUUGGAUUGGAGAAAAAAUCAAAAUUCGAUUUGAAAGCAUAGAAUUGGAGACUCAACUUGAUAAACACAGCUUCCAUCUUCUCUGUGGUUAACAGAGACGGCGAUGAAGGAAGCCAUCGUUAACAGAGACGGCGACGUUCUUUUAUUUUUGUUUAAGCUAUUUUCUUUUUUUUUUUCUAAAUUUUAAUAUUCUUUUUUAUCUUAAUCCUACAUAGCAGUUUGAUUGGUGUUAAUUUAUAGAGGUAAAUUUGAGAGUUCUCCAUAGGGGGUGAACUCAAGUUUUGUUUGGAUGAGAAACAAAACAUGAUACAAUAUUUGUUCUGUGAUAACUGACAAGUAAAUUUCUUAUAGAUCAUUAAAAUUUCGUAUACUUUGAUUUUCCAUGCCUUAUACUUUCAGUUUUUUUUAUUGUCUCCUCUUUUCCCUCUGUGGCAAUAAUCAAUCUCUUAACCUUAUAAAACUUUCAGUAGUAUGCAAUUCAAAUAUUUAGAUAAACUGAAAGCAUUUAUAUAUUUCACAUAUAAAAAAGCCCACAUAUAUUUAGACAGACACCGAGAGAGAACCUUUAUUGUUUCUACAUAUAUGUAGAUGUCUAGGGUAAGCUAGACAUACUAAAGAGUACUUAAUUAUAAAGGCUUUUUAUAAACCUUUAACCAU